AUGUGUAAAAAAACACAUUUUUUUCGCGGGAGUCACGGUUUUGUUUUCGCGAGAGGCACGGUUGUGCUUCCGCGAGAGGCACGACCGUGCCUCUUGGAAACGAAAAAAAACGUGUUUUCUAUUUUAUUUUCUUUCGCGAGAGGCACGAUUUUGCUUCCGCGAGAGGCACGGUUGUGCUUUCGCGAGAGUCACGGCCGUGCCUCCUCGGAAAUGAAAAAAAACACGAUUUCUGUUUGUUUUUUCCUUUCGCGAGAGGCACGGUUUUGCUUCCACGAGAGGCAUAGUUGUGCUUUCGAAAGAGGCACGGGCAUGCCUCUUUCGGAAAGGAAAAAAUGCGUUUUCUGUUUUUUUUCUUCCGCGAGAGGCACGGUUUUGCUUUCGCGAGAGGCACGGUUGUGCUUUCGCGAGAGGCACGGGCGUGCCUCUUUUGAAAAGGAAAAAAAGUGUUUUCUGUUUGUUUUUCUUUCGCGAGAGGCACGAUUGUGA
rnacentral:rRNA from 1 species